rnacentral:lncRNA from 1 species
AGCUGAAGGAUGCUGCGAGAGCACUCGGUAUUUCUUUGAGAGAGCCCUUUGCUGGACUCCUGGAAAACGUGUCUUGUGUCGCUUUUCUAAUCGUUGGAUGGUAAGAAGGUAGGAGGAACUGAACUUUGAGUGAGGAUCAAUUGCAUGCGAAGGGAACAACUGACCGGCGGAGCGUUCUCAGAGUUAUCUCGACGGUGCCCCGGCCUCGCCAAUGAAGAAUACCUCACUUAAAGGUGCAGCAGAACAGAAUUUCAGGGAGGUGCUGUGAUGAACGCCAUCUAUUCAGCUGGACGGGAAGCACACUAUUAUGUAUGGAUGACGUGACAGUAAGAAAUCUCACAAAAUUACCUCCCUUAAAAUAACAGUCACGCUUGAUCCCUCGUAGCUCGCUAGAAAGCCAUCUCAAGCCUCGGGAGAUCACGAGCCAGUUUUACAGUCGGCACGCUCUCUGUCCUUCCCACACCUUUCCAGAUCAGACAGGCCCACAUAACCAUUGCGUACGAACAACUACACAACGCUCAGUCAGAGUGGGAAAUACCACGAUAUUGGUAAGAUUCAAAGCUGUACAAGAACAACAUGUCAGUGCAACAGUAUAAUAGACAAGGACUUAUGAUUUUAUUGUACAAUUGAUUUUGGCAGGAUUUCAGAAGCUGUAUACAGUACAACAAAGAUAAUUACAAAAACGUGUUUGACAAUUAUUUGUUUUGUUUUAAAAUCCUUUAGCUGCCUGCUGCAUACCUACUGUACAACUACAUUAAUUUACAUUUCAGUAGCAGGCAAUGCCGAGCGUAUCCAUCACCAUCACAAUUGCUUGGAGAGGAUCCACAAUUUCUUGCGUGUUAUCUUUUCUCAAAACCCAGUCCGGUUUAAUUCUCGAAACUGUCUUUAUUCUUAGAGGAGUUAUCGGAAUAAAGGAAAUUCCACCAAUUACGGUGUUUGUCUUCUGUUUCACAAGCGUUCUCUCUGCAUCCAUUCUGCACUUGCGAACCGUAAGCUUAUAGAGGCUUUGAAUGCAUGUAACGACUCUGGGCAUGCUUCGGAUUUCCAAAGCUCUCUUUGAGUCCUUUGAAAGAAUGGCCAACAAACAACAAGUCUUCGUGAAAAUACUUCCUCCUUUUUCCGAAAUUUUGUCCCCAGCUUUCCCUCUGUAUGUUUGCAGCAGGUCUAGCAAUGUAUCUAUAGAAUUAUCUAC